GAUGAACGCUGGCGGCGUGCCUAAUACAUGCGAGUCGAGCGAACAGACGAGGAGCUUGCUCCUCUGACGUUAGCGGCGGACGGGUGAGUAACACGUGGAUAACCUACCUAUAAGACUGGGAUAACUUCGGGAAACCGGAGCUAAUACCGGAUAAUAUAUUGAACCGCAUGGUUCAAUAGUGAAAGACGGUUUUGCUGUCACUUAUAGAUGGAUCCGCGCCGCAUUAGCUAGUUGGUAAGGUAACGGCUUACCAAGGCAACGAUGCGUAGCCGACCUGAGAGGGUGAUCGGCCACACUGUAACUGAGACACGGUCCAGACUCCUACGGGAGGCAGCAGUAGGGAAUCUUCCGCAAUGGGCGAAAGCCUGACGGAGCAACGCCGCGUGAGUGAUGAAGGUCUUCGGAUCGUAAAACUCUGUUAUUAGGGAAGAACAAAUGUGUAAGUAACUAUGCACGUCUUGACGGUACCUAAUCAGAAAGCCACGGCUAACUACGUG
rnacentral:rRNA from 1 species